GAUGAAGAACGUAGCGAACUGCGAUAAGUAAUGUGAAUUGCAGAAUUCAGUGAAUCAUCGAAUCUUUGAACGCACAUUGCGCCCGCCAGUAUUCUGGCGGGCAUGCCUGUUCGAGCGUCAUUACAACCCUCAGGCCCCCGGGCCUGGCGUUGGGGAUCGGCGGAGCCCCCCGUGGGCACACGCCGUCCCCCAAAUGCAGUGGCGGUCCCGCCGCAGCUUCCAUCGCGUAGUAGCUAACACCUCGCGACUGGAGAGCGGCGCGGCCACGCCGUAAAACACCCAACUCUUCUGAAGUUGACCUCGAAUCAGGUAGGAAUACCCGCUGAACUUAAGCAUAUCAAUAAGCGGAGGA
rnacentral:misc_RNA from 1 species